AUGUGUGUGUGUGUAGAUUAUUUUCCUAGAGGGAAGAUGCUACUGUCACUGUCGUCCAUUCAAGAACCAAUAAUCCUGAAGAGAUCAUAAAGCAGGCAGAUAUUAUCAUUUCGGCUGUUGGGCAGCCAAACAUGGUUAGGGGAAGCUGGAUAAAAACUGGUGCAGUAAUUAUCGAUGUCGGAAUCAACCCAGUAGAGGAUCCGAAUAGCCCUCGAGGUUAUAGACUGGUUGGAGAUGUUUGUUAUGAAGAAGCCGUAGAAGUUGCCUCGGCUGUUACUCCUGUUCCUGGAGGAGUUGGUCCAAUGACCAUAGCAAUGCUUCUCCAGAAUACACUCAUCUCUGCAAAGAGGAUGCAUAAUUUUGAAUAAACAAGUGAAACCAUGUAAUAUCAUUUUUUCCAUCAAUUUUUUGUUUAGAAGAUUGUUGGAUUUUGUCUUACCUUUAUGAUUUGGUUGUACAUUGAAAAAAAAAAAGAGGGGGGGAAUGAAAGAGUUUCUUAGGAUGGUAGCAUAAAAGAUCCCCUUCCAUGUAGUUGCAUAAUGUGAUGCAAUAAAUUCAUUACUCUUAAGAAACUUGGUUGAAAUGUCAAAUCUAGCGGUAUAGGAUACAAGUAGUGAAAAGAAAGCUCUUGUAUUUAUUCUGAGUCUUAAUUUCAUGAAUAAAUUAUAACUCAAAAUGAGACCAAUUGCUCAAGUUUCUUGA